GGCCGUGAUUUAUGCAUCAGAAUCCAGGGGGCACCAGCCUACGUCCCUUCUCUGUUUUCUUUUUCUUUCUUUCUUUUUUUUUUUUUCGGUUGCCUGUGGGGGAGGAGUGUUUGUGUAUGUGUGUGUGUGUGUGUGUGUGUGUGUGUGUGUGUGUGUGUGUGUGCGUGCGCGCGCUUCUGCCCCAGAUCUUUCCUGGACAGUGAGUCUCUGCAGCCGAGAUCCGGAGGCCCCCAGCCGCUGGCGGAGGGCGUGGGGGUUGAGAUAUUAACCCCUCCCCGCCUCUUCCUAGAGAAGCCACCCAGCCUCAGCGGGGCGCUCGACGACUUCAGCAAGCGGGCCGGCGCUGGCCGCGGGGAGCAGGGCUGGCCAUUGGAGUGUGCGGCUGCGGAGGGAGGGGACCCCGACUCGAGUAAGUUUGGAAGAGCGUCGCAGUCAGUCCCGGGGCAGCAGCAAGAUGCCGAGGGCGCAGUGGAGACCCGGAGCUCUCCCAACGCAACUUCGUCCUGCCUGAGCGAGCUGCUGUUUCCGAGGCCCUCUCCAACCAAGGCAAAGAGACACAAAAAGCCUGGAACUCUCGGACAGAACCACCUCCCGCCGCAAGUGAAGGCUCGCUCGGCCUCGCCCUCUAGCGUUCUUCUGGAGAAGCGCCACCCCCGGAUUCCUGGAGACACUGUGCACCAUGGGGUCUACCAGCGUCCCGCUGGUGAAGGCCCUCCGCAGUCCUGUCUCCGACUAUGUCAACUAUGACAUUAUCGUCCGGCAUUAUAACUACACAGGAAAGCUGAAUAUCGGCGCGGACAAGGAGAAUGGCAUUAAACUGAGCUCGGUGGUGUUCAUUCUCAUCUGCUGUUUUAUCAUCCUAGAGAACAUCUUUGUCUUGCUGACCAUUUGGAAAACCAAGAAGUUCCACCGACCUAUGUACUAUUUUAUUGGCAACCUGGCCCUCUCAGACCUGUUGGGCAGGAGUGGCCUACACAGCCAACCUGCUCUUGUCUGGCGCCACCACCUACAAGCUCACCCCCGCCCAGU
rnacentral:lncRNA from 1 species